UCAGUGGCCGAGUGGAUAACGCGAUGGCAUGUGAAGCGAAAGGUACUGGGUUUGAGUCCCAGAGUGA
rnacentral:tRNA from 1 species